rnacentral:rRNA from 1 species
GAACGCUAGCUACAGGCUUAACACAUGCAAGUCGAGGGGCGAGCAUGAGCUUAGCUUGCUAAGCUGAUGGCGACCGGCGCACGGGUGAGUAACGCGUAUCCAACCUCCCCUUAGUAGGGCAUAGCCCGGUGAAAUCGGAUUAAUACCCUAUGUUCUUCACAGCGGACAUCUAACGUGAAGCAAAGGUUCACCGCUAAGGGAUGGGGAUGCGUCUGAUUAGGUAGUCGGCGGGGUAACGGCCCACCGAGCCAUCGAUCAGUAGGGGUUCUGAGAGGAAGGUCCCCCACAUUGGUACUGAGACACGGACCAAACUCCUACGGGAGGCAGCAGUGAGGAAUAUUGGUCAAUGGGCGCGAGCCUGAACCAGCCAAGUAGCGUGCAAGGAUGACUGCCCUAUGGGUUGUAAACUGCUUUUAUGCGGGAAUAAAGUCAGGUACGUGUACCUGUUUGUAUGUACCGCAUGAAUAAGGACCGGCUAAUUCCGUGCCAGCCGCCGC